UGAACCUCGGAUCAGGUAGGGAUACCCGCUGAACUUAAGCAU
rnacentral:rRNA from 1 species